rnacentral:rRNA from 1 species
AACGAACGCUGGCGGCAUGCCUAACACAUGCAAGUCGAACGAGACCUUCGGGUCUAGUGGCGCACGGGUGCGUAACGCGUGGGAACCUGCCCUUAGGUUCGGAAUAACUCCCCGAAAGGGGUGCUAAAACCGGAUAAAUUCUUCGGACCAAAGAUUUAUCGCCUUUGGAUGGGCCCGCGUUGGAUUAGCUAGUUGGUAGGGUAAAAGCCUACCAAGGCGACGAUCCAUAGCUGGUCUGAGAGGAUGAUCAGCCACACUGGGACUGAGACACGGCCCAGACUCCUACGGGAGGCAGCAGUGGGGAAUAUUGGACAAUGGGCGAAAGCCUGAUCCAGCAAUGCCGCGUGAGUGAUGAAGGCCUUAGGGUUGUAAAGCUCUUUUACCCGGGAUGAUAAUGACAGUACCGGGAGAAUAAGCUCCGGCUAACUCCGUG